UACGUAGGGCGCAAGCGUUGUCCGGAAUUAUUGGGCGUAAAGAGCUCGUAGGCGGUUUGUCGCGUCUGCUGUGAAAGCCCGGGGCUCAACCCCGGGUCGCGUGGGUACGGGCAGACUAGAGUGCAGUAGGGGAGACUGGAAUUCCUGGUGUAGGCGGUGAAAAUGCGCAGAUAUCAGGAGGAACACCGAUGGCGAAGGCAGGUCUCUGGGCUGUUACUGACGCUGAGGACGAAAGCAUGGGGAGCGAACAGGAUUAGAUACCCGCGUAGUC
rnacentral:rRNA from 1 species